GAUGAAUGCUGGCGGCGUGCCUAAUACAUGCAAGUCGAGCGGUAAGGCCCUUCGGGGUACACGAGCGGCGGACGGGCUGAGUAACGCGUGGGAACAUGCCCCCAAAGUGAGGGAUAACGCACCGAAAGGUGUGCUAAUACCGCAUAUGGUCUUCGGAUUAAAGGAUUAUCCGCUUUGGGAGUGGCCCGCGUACGAUUAGAUUGUUGGUGAGGUAACGGCUCACCAAGUCGACGAUCGUUAACUGGUCUGAGAGGAUGAUCAGUCAGACUGGAACUGAGACACGGUCCAGACUCCUACGGGAGGCAGCAGUAAGGAAUCUUCCACAAUGGGCGAAAGCCUGAUGGAGCAACGCCGCGUGCAGGAUGAAGGCCUCGGGUCGUAACUGCUUUAUGAGUGAAGAGUAUGACGGUAACUCAUGAAUAAGCACCGGCUAACUACGUGCCAGCAGCCGCGGUAAU
rnacentral:rRNA from 1 species